rnacentral:rRNA from 1 species
AUACGGAGGAUGCAAGCGUUAUCCGGAUUUAUUGGGUUUAAGGGGUGCGUAGGCGGGACUGUAAGUCAGGGGUGAAAUACUGCAGCUUAACUGUAGCAUUGCCUUUGAAACUGCCGUUCUUGAGUACAGUUGAGGUAGGCGGAAUGUGGUGUGUAGCGGUGAAAUGCAUAGAUAUACCACAGAACGCCGAUUGCGAAGGCAGCUUACUAAGCUGUUACGGACGCUGAGGCACGAAAGCGUGGGGAUCGAACAGGAUUAGAUACCCUGGUGGUCCCCGCAGUAAACGAUGAUGACUACCCGCCGGCGAUAGACCGCCGGUGGCCAAGCGAAAGCGAUAAGUCAUCCACCUGGGGAGUACGACCGCAAGGUUGAAACUCAAAGGAAUUGACGGGG